GUCCCGGCAGGCCGGAGUUAAGGACUGCUGUCCCGUGAGGAAAGCUAACGUAGGUGUCAGGGAAGUCCUGAACUUCUGGGAGUGCUCGCUCGCAUCCACCCUUGAGCAGGACAAGUUGAGCAACAGUGCAAAGUUUAGCCCUGCUGACACAGCUCAAAAGUGAGUGGAAUCUGGAGAAAAAGAAGAUGAGAGAAACUUGUGAAGUAUGAGCAGGAAGGAAAGUUGAAUUUUUGUGCAACUUAAAGAUGGGAGUACUGAGGAGGAAUGAGACUGCAAGUGCACAAAACUUGGUGCAGAUUUAGGGACUUCCCUGUGUUGAAACACAGUGUUGUAUUUCAAAAUAGCUUUGUUGAUUUUUAUUAUUGGUUUGCAAGGGGUGUAUUUGGAAAAGUUUAUUGUGGGUUUCGUCUUUCUCUUGCUGCUUCAAUCCCUUUGUAAUAUUAAAUCUUUAUUAUGAUUGCCAAA